rnacentral:rRNA from 1 species
UAACCUGCCCAAGAGAUCGGGAUAACACCUGGAAACAGAUGCUAAUACCGGAUAACAACAGAUGAUGCCUAUCAACUGUUUAAAANAUGGUUCUGCUAUCACUCUUGGAUGGACCUGCGGUGCAUUAGCUAGUUGGUAGGGUAACGGCCUACCAAGGCGAUGAUGCAUAGCCGAGUUGAGAGACUGAUCGGCCACAUUGGGACUGAGACACGGCCCAAACUCCUACGGGAGGCAGCAGCC